rnacentral:rRNA from 1 species
UACGUAGGGGGCAAGCGUUGUCCGGAAUCAUUGGGCGUAAAGAGCGUGUAGGCGGCCCGGUAAGUCCGCUGUGAAAGUCCAGGGCUCAACCCUGGGAUGCCGGUGGAUACUGUCGGGCUCGAGUCCGGAAGAGGAGUGUGGAAUUCCUGGUGUAGCGGUGAAAUGCGUAGAUAUCAGGAGGAACACCGAUGGCGAAGGCAGGUCUCUGGGCUGACACUGACGCUCAUGCACGAAAGCGUGGGGAGCAAACAGG